AGUAGGUGAGUGCACAGGGCUGUGUUGCAGUAGAAGCCUGUUGGAGCUGGUAUUCCCAGGUUGAUUACAGCUGACAUGGUCAGAGAAGGUGUGGCAGUAAUUGAUGUGGGUAUCAACUAUAUACAAGAUCCUGUGACGGGAAAGACCAAGUUAGUUGGAGAUGUGGACUUUGAAGCUGUUAAGAAGAAAGCCAGCUUCAUUACUCCAGUCCCAGGAGGUGUGGGACCCAUGACCGUGGCCAUGCUUCUUAAGAACACACUUUUAGCUGCAAAGAAUAUCGCCUGCUAGAUCACAGCGGGGAGUACAUGAAACGAAUUCUGCUGCUUACUCAUUUGA
rnacentral:lncRNA from 1 species